rnacentral:tRNA from 11 species
GGAAGGGUGUCCGAGUGGUUUAAGGAGCUGGUCUUGAAAACCAGUGACCCGCCUGAAGCGGGCCGUGGGUUCGAAUCCCACCCCUUCCGCCA